rnacentral:rRNA from 1 species
UUUAACGGCCACGGUACUAUAACCGCGCGAAGGUAGCGCAAUCACUUGUUUUCUAAUUAGAGACUAGUAUGAACGGUUAAUUGAGGGUGCCACUGUCUCCUAUGACCAACCAAUGAACCUGAUCUCCCAGUACAAAAGCUGGGAUAAAUACAUAAGACGAGAAGACCCUGUGGAGCUUGAAAUACAACAGUAAAAUGCAGCCACAACCUACAAUUGAGGCUCACCCCACUGCUUUUAUACUGCACAUUUUAAGUUGGGGCGACUGCGGAGAAAAAAUAAACCUCCAUGAAACAGGACUAAUCAUCACCACAAGGCGCACAUGCCACGUAGUACUACUCUUCUGACCCAGUACAACUGAUAACCGAACCAAGUUACCCCAGGGAUAACAGCGCCAUCCUCUUUAAGAGCCCCUAUCGCCAAGAGGGUUUACGACCUCGAUGUUGGAUCAGGGCACCCAAGUGGUGAAGCCGCUACUAAUGGUUCGUUUGUUCAACGACUAACGCCCUACGUGAUCUUGUUCAACGACUAACGCCCUACGUGAUCU